CAGUCCAGGGGAAGGAUCGUGCAGUGUGAUCUAGGCAGACUCUGCACCUCUGAUUCCUGCUACCCCUGCACAGAGGUUGCCACUUUCAGCUAGGAGGCUCUGCGCAGCGCCCAUUCUCCAAAGUGCUCAGCUGUGGAGUUGCUUAGAUGCAGCUGAAAUGGAAUCAGAAUGUGGCUUAUAAAGGACAUAAGAGUGUUCCUCAUCUGUCUGCCAAAAAAAGAAAGCAAGGGAGAAAGGAGGAUCCUCCAAGACUGCAAUGUAUUUGCUAAGAAAGAAGCAGAGAAAGCUUAGGAAUCCUAUGAGAUCACUUGGAAGCAGCAAGAAAGGAGUGAGACUGUUCAGUGGGAAACAAUGGACUCGGCUUGCUUCAGUUUGGAAGUCGUCAUUUGACUGGCUUUAGAAAAACUAUUCUUCAAGACUAAAACCACUUGCAACAUUCAGUGUUAGCAAAGAGUGAGCUGGGCUGCAAACUAGGUAAGAUUUUUCAGAAAACAACAUGACAAGCUUAGUGGCCUGUAGUUCUUUGAGCUCACUGUCCUUCCAUUAAAAAACAGCCUGCCAAAAUGGGGUUCGCUUUUCCCAAACUGCCCUAGAUAACCUGUCUGAUAUUGGCAGGACAUGCUGCCGGACAGCUGGCUAUGAUUCAAGGAAUUUCAUCACUAUUGUGCUUUGAAGACUAAUACUAAUAAUGCAAUGGAGAUUUUAGCAAUUCUUUCUUAAAUUUCC
rnacentral:lncRNA from 1 species